rnacentral:rRNA from 1 species
AUGCGAUUUGAUAGCUGGGAGGCAGGUUUGGCAUUCUAUAGAAUGUAUGCUCAUGAGGUUGGCUUCUCUGUACGCGUAUGGACACAACACAAAGGAGAGGGUGGUGUAAUAAUCUGGAAGAAGUUUGUUUGCGCAAGACAAGGUUGGAGGAAGAGAAAAUCAGUGGAUCUAGGUCAAGUUACUCAAGAAGUGGGGAGAAAAAAGGCUAAAAGAAAUAUCAAGAUAAGCAGAUGCGGUUGCAAGGCUAUGAUGGGAUUGAAGAGGCAAGAUGACAACAAGUACGAGGUCGUCCAGUUUGUUCAAUCGCACACGCACCAACUUGUCUCACCAAGUAAGAGGCAUCUCAUCAGGUCAAAUAGAGAGGUAACUAGUGAUUUGAGAAACAAAUUAUUUACAUGCAGUAAGGCAUUGCUUGGCACUUCAAAAACUUUUCGCUUGCUUAGCAUAGAGAAGGGUGGGCCAGAAAAUAUCGGUUGCACAAAACAUGACUUACAAAACUGUCAGCGUGAUUUCAAGGCAGCGAUUAAGGGAGCAGAUGGACAACUUAUAGUAGAUAUAAUGGAAAAUAAAAAAAAGGCCAAUCCAGCAUUUUAUUUUGAUUACCAGGUAGAUGAGAACAAUAAACUGACAAAUAUUUUCUGGGCUGAUAGUAUAUGUAGAAAGAACUAUUCAUUAUUUGGUGACGUUGUAUCCUUCGAUUCUACAUAUCGGUUUAACAAGUAUGACCUGGUAUUUGCCCCUUUUACUGGAGUUAACCAUCACAAAUCUUGUGUUACAUUCGGUGCUGCAUUCUUGUCAAACGAGAAGAUUGCAUCAUACAAAUGGUUAUUUCAGACUUUCUUGAAAGCAAUGUGUGGGGUUGCACCAAAGCUAGUCAUAACCGAUGAGGAUCAAAGCAUGAGAAGAGGAAUAGAAUCUAUAUUUCCGAACACAAAGCAUCGACUCUGUAUGUGGCAUAUUCUGAUGAAACUCCCUGAAAAGGUUGGACCCAUCUUGAGAGACAAUGAAGAUUUUAAACCACGAUUCAUGGCAUGUGUCCGGGGAUCAGAGACUCCAGAUGAGUUCGAAUCACGGUGGUCCUCAAUAAUUUCUGAGUUUGGCCUAGAGGAUAAUGAAUGGUUGAAAGAGAAGUAUGGUUUACGGGAAUCAUGGAUUCCAGCAUACUUUAUGGAGUUCUCCCUUGGUGGAAUAUUACGUACAACAUCUAGAUCUGAGAGUGAGAAUGCAUUUUUUCGACACUUCACUAACCGAAAGCUUACCUUGAUUGAGUUUUGGGUAAGAUUUGAAACCGCUUUGGAAGAGCAACGACAAAAGGAGUUGCAAGAGGAUAAUUGUGCACUUCAUACCUUGCCAGUACUCGAGACUUGCUGGGGAAUUGAGGCUCAUGCCAGAGAAGUGUAUACUCACAAUAUUUUUGUUGCUUUCCAACGUGAGGUGGUGGCUGCUAGGGAUCGUCGUCAUGUCAAAACCAUUGAGCGGGUUGGUGAUGUCCGAACCAUGAGCAUUGGUGACCUUAGUGGAAGGAUAAUAACUGUCUGCUUCAACACUAAUACAAAGGCUGCACAAUGUACUUGUCGAAUGUUUGAAUCAUUGGGCAUACUUUGCUCUCACAUCAUUGUUGUCUUAAAGAAUGAUGGGUGUAAUGAAAUUCCUAGCCAAUAUGUGCUGCAUAGGUGGACUAAAAUGGCUGCACGACAUCUUUGCUAUGAUGCCAAUGGACAUGAGAUGGAAGGGUCAUCUACUUCUCUUUCACCUAUCAUCAAGAAAUUGUAUUCACAAACAUGGUCGCGGUUCAGCUUGGCAUUGCAUGAAGCUAGACAUUGUGAGGAGAAGAUGGAAUACUUAAACAAAGUUGUUGCUGAUGCUCUUGCACACUUGAGGCAGACGGCGCCACUUGACGAACAAAGUAAAGUUCAAGAGUUUGAAUCCUUUAUUGGAACAACAUUCCCAAGCAUCAUCAAUAUUCAUCCCCCUGAUAUUGCAAAUACAAAGGGCAGUGGCAAGAGAUUGAAGAGGGGUUCAGAGGAGGCCAUUAACAAAAGGAAAAAGAGCAAGUAG